rnacentral:rRNA from 1 species
UAGGGAAUCUUCGGCAAUGGGGGCAACCCUGACCGAGCAACGCCGCGUGAGUGAAGAAGGUUUUCGGAUCGUAAAGCUCUGUUGUAAGAGAAGAACGAGUGUGAGAGUGGAAAGUUCACACUGUGACGGUAACUUACCAGAAAGGGACGGCUAACUACGUGCCAGCAGCCGCGGUAAUACGUAGGUCCCGAGCGUUAUCCGGAUUUAUUGGGCGUAAAGCGAGCGCAGGCGGUUAGAUAAGUCUGAAGUUAAAGGCUGUGGCUUAACCAUAGUACGCUUUGGAAACUGUUUAACUUGAGUGCAGAAGGGGAGAGUGGAAUUCCAUGUGUAGCGGUGAAAUGCGUAGAUAUAUGGAGGAACACCGGUGGCGAAAGCGGCUCUCUGGUCUGUAACUGACGCUGAGGCUCGAAAGCGUGGGGAGCAAACAGGAUUAGAUACCCUGGUAGUCCACGCCGUAANGNNNAGUGCUAGGUGUUGGGUCCUUUCCGGGACUCAGUGCCGCAGCUAACGCAUUAAGCACUCCGCCUGGGGAGUACGACCGCAAGGUU